rnacentral:snoRNA from 1 species
UUUCCAUGAUGAUCCCAUAUCAGUUCUGCUUCCGAAAAGCGAGAGCAUAUCUCCUUGUGGACAACCUUUAUACCAAAAACUAUCAUUCUGAUCC